rnacentral:rRNA from 1 species
CACCGGCGGCUCGAGUGGUGGCCCCUUUUAUUGGGUCUAAAGCGUCCGUAGCCGGCUUGGCAAGUCCCCUGGGAAAUCUGGCGGCUUAACCGUCAGGCGUCCAGAGGAUACUGCCAGGCUUGGGACCGGGAGAGGUGAGAGGUACCUCAGGGGUAGGGGUGAAAUCUUGUGAUCCCUGAGGGACCACCAGUGGCGAAGGCGGCCUUCUGGCCUCUACCUGACGCUGAGGAGCGAAAGCCAGGGGAGCGAACGGG